GUGUUUGGUUGGCAGCACGUACACAAAAUUGGAAUGAUUCAGAGAGCUUACAUGGUCCCUGUUUAAGAAUGACAUGCAAAUUUGUGAAGAAUUCCAUAUUUUU
rnacentral:snRNA from 1 species